rnacentral:SRP_RNA from 1 species
GCCAGGUGUGGUGGUGUGUGCCUGUAGUCCCAGCUACUCUGAAGGCUGAGGUGGGAGGAUCACUUGAGCUCAGGAGUUCUGGGCUGCAGUGCGCUAUGCCAAUUGGGUGUCCGCACUAAGUUUGGCAUCAAUAUGGUGACCUCCCGGGAGCAGAGGACCACCAGGUUGCCUAAAAAGGGGUGAACCGCCACAGGUUGGAAAUGGAGCAGGUCAAAACCCCCAUGCUGAUCAGUAGUGGGAUCACGCCUGUGAGUAGCCACUUUACUCCAGCCUGGGCAACAUAGUGAGACCCCAUCUUU